GGGCGGGUUCUCUAACCAAGGAGAUUGCGUUGCCAAGAAAUGGAAACACAAGAGACGGGCCAGGAGCUUGGCGUUUCUUUAUCAGGUAAGAGAUCUGCUCAAAAAAAAGAAGGAAAAGAGCAAAUGAAACUAUGUAUGGAAGUGCUGUGGAUAGAGAGGGAAUGAAGAAUAAGAAGGGAAGCAUUGUGAUUUUGGGCUGUGGGUGGUGGCUUUCUGGUGGAUAGAGAAAGAUUGGAUGUGCAGGUACAGAGAUGAUGUGGUGUCUUUUUAUGGGAAAGGUUUUGUCAAACGGGGAG
rnacentral:misc_RNA from 1 species